GUGACGAGAAACGAGACUUACAGCCCCUAUAGAUUAUCAGAACAGUGUCACAUUUUACACUUCCACAAUAAAAAUAAAUACAUGUAUAUGAGUUUAAAAUACAUGUAAUACUUAUUGAAAUCAUAUCAGUUUCAUGUCUUCAACCUGAUUAGCCUUAAAACAGCAUGUAUGUAGACCUAUAUUAUGCCUUUUCUGUUACUGUUUUUCAUGUUUUGCUAAUAUAGCAAUAAAAUCGAUAACUGAUAAUUUUAUUUCACCAUUAUACUAAUUAAUCAAUGUAUGUUACAAACACAUUUAUGAAUAAUCAAAUUUAUCCCUUUAAGAUAAAUUCAGUUAUUGAGAAUGACGAAUUUGACAUGCUUGAAUAUUUUUAAGUGCAAUUCAAUUUUUCCGGAAUUUUGCUGUCCUUUUCUUGACACCAGACUUAGUCCAUAAAUAGUCCCAACGCGAGCAUGCGCUCUCGGCCUUUUCAUUUUCAUCCUCGGGCAAGUGCAGAUGAAUUCCAGGCGAUCAAGAAAAAAUCCAAUUAAAUCGGCUAAGAUGAGUACGGGAAUGUUAAGAGCGGGAUCUACUAGGCGCUCUAAAACCAGAUCGCCUUAUGCCAGACCACCGGCUCGGGCAGAAGUCCCUGUAGCUCGCCCGUCACAACCUCGCAAUUCCUCGCUGACAAGUGCACGUCCUACACAGUAGCAUCAAUCCAACCAAUCCACUUUAAGUGCUGACAGCCAUCAAGAUGCACCCGGGGUCAUUCCAUUACACACCACGCAGCCCACCAUCACCCCAGAUAUUUAUCUUCAAGGAAACGCUAGGCCUGCAGUGGCUAUACCUACUGAAAAUGUACCACACCAAACAGUACGCAUGUAAACCCUCUUGUUAGUAUCACGGCAGAUCUUGGGGCUAACAUAUUCCAUUGUCAUUACAGGAAAAAAUAUGGAAUAAUGAAUAUAUAGAUCUUGCCAAGCUAUUGCAUUUAGAUCCUGCAGCUGAAACCCAACAACUUCUUGUGUUUGAAGAUGGUCAAAUCAAAAUUAAAAACAAAUCUAAAGAUAAAAAAAA